UUCAGGAAAAAAGAAAAAGAAAUGUGUUGUUUUUCCUCCCUAAAGGCCUCUAGCUGCUAGGCAUAAUUUUUUUUUCUCAUUAUUUUCCAGGAAACCUUGCCCUUGGACUAAGAUCAAGAAACUCAGAGCAAAUGCAAAGAAGAUUUUGAGUGAGGUCUUCUUCAGCUCUGAGGAACACUGUGUUACUUUCACCAAAAGACAUGCUUCCCUCACCGCAGGCCUGGGGGCUGUAGCUGGGCACUGCCAGUGGAAACCCAGAAAGGUUCUAAGCUCUAAGUUUCAUUAUCGGACCCUCGUGGACCUCAUUUCCUUAGGCCUGUGACCUCACUGCAGUGCUGAGUCCCUGUGCUGACAGUAGCCUUCAUCUCCACUAACCAUUCUGCUAUGUCCCAGUGCUUCCUGGAGUCAAGGACAGUUUUACUGGGAGGAUUUAAGGUACAGAGGAAGUAUUUUUGUGCUACUCAAACUAAACCACAUGGACGAUUAUUUACUUGCCUAAAAAAAUAGCUGGUUCCACAAACUGCUGUUUUCUUUCUUUUUAGGAUGACCAUUUUAAUGAUCGCUUUGCUGGUAUUAUUGGGAGGUUUAAUAAUGAUGCAGAAACAGAGAAGAGCCUGGAGCUAAAUGUGAGUAAUUUAGAGCUAAGAGGUCUUCAUGCUGCCAACAUUACAUUGAAACUCCAUUAUAGCAAAACCUAGUUUGAAACCCCCCCAAAAAAUUGG
rnacentral:lncRNA from 1 species